AACAAUUUUCCAGGAAAACAGCUUUCCUGUUUACUUUUAACUCUCAGAAAUAAUGAUAGUCUCUUCAAACCAAGGAAGAGGCAAUUUGAAUAAGACACUGGAGAAAGCCGUAAGCUUUUCUUUCCAUUCAGUUAAUGACAAUAAAGAUAGAGGAAGAGGAAACAAGAAGGAAGUUGAAUUUUUUACUUUGGAAGUUAAAUCUUCCAUGCAAAUGAUAACACUAGGCAAAGAAUAAAGUAUUUGAGAAAUUAACAAGUGGCUGUCAAAGACUAACCAGGAAAACUGCAGCAAAAACAACAUGCAGUUUUACAUUGAUUGAACUUACACAUUAGCUUCAUGCACUAUCAAAGUCUUGAACUUGCACAGAUAAAAAUUUUGUUCAUAAUUUGUAGAUACUGUCUGACAAAAGGAUAAGAAAUGAAUCAUACAUUGUCAACAACAACUUGAUCUUAGUCAAUUUGCUAAAUACAUUUUCUCUCUUCUCCUUUUGAAAUUUCAAAACAAAAUUCAAAGAGAGACUUCCAUGUAAGCAAAUAAAAGGAUUUCUGUGUGUAUGGAUGUUAUUAAC
rnacentral:lncRNA from 1 species